rnacentral:rRNA from 1 species
CCGGCACGGGUGAGUAACACGUAUGCGACCUGCCCGUAGCAGGGGGAUAAGCGGAAGAAAUUCCGUCUAAUACCGCGUAAUAUCUUUCGGGGGCAUUCCUGAGGGAUUAAAGGAAGCGAUUCCGGCUACGGAUGGGCAUGCGGCGCAUUAGCUAGUCGGCGGGGUAACGGCCCACCGAGGCGACGAUGCGUAGGGGUUCUGAGAGGAAGGUCCCCCACACUGGUACUGAGACACGGACCAGACUCCUACGGGAGGCAGCAG